GCGGAAGUGGCGGAAUGGCAUACGCGCACGGCUCAGGACCGUGUGGGGAAACCCUUAGGAGUUCAACUCUCCUCUUCCGCACCA
rnacentral:tRNA from 1 species